rnacentral:rRNA from 1 species
CGGACGGGUGAGUAAUGUCUGGGAAACUGCCUGAUGGAGGGAGAUAACUACUGGAAACGGUAGCUAAUACCGCAUAACGUCGCAAGGCCAAAGAGGGGGACCUUCGGGCCUCUUGCCAUCGGAUGUGCCCAGAUGGGAUUAGCUAGUAGGUGGGGUAACGGCUCACCUAGGCGACGAUCCCUAGCUGGUCUGAGAGGAUGACCAGCCACACUGGAACUGAGACACGGUCCAG